rnacentral:rRNA from 1 species
AGAGUUUGAUCCUGGCUCAGAUUGAACGCUGGCGGCAGGCCUAACACAUGCAAGUCGAACGGUAACAGGAAUCAGCUUGCUGAUUCGCUGACGAGUGGCGGACGGGUGAGUAAUGUCUGGGAAACUGCCUGAUGGAGGGGGAUAACUACUGGAAACGGUAGCUAAUACCGCAUAACGUCGCAAGACCAAAGAGGGGGACCUUAGGGCCUCUUGCCAUCGGAUGUGCCCAGAUGGGAUUAGCUAGUAGGUGGGGUAACGGCUCACCUAGGCGACGAUCCCUAGCUGGUCUGAGAGGAUGACCAGCCACACUGGAACUGAGACACGGUCCAGACUCCUACGGGAGGCAGCAGUGGGGAAUAUUGCACAAUGGGCGCAAGCCUGAUGCAGCCAUGCCGCGUGUAUGAAGAAGGCCUUCGGGUUGUAAAGUCUUUUUCAGCGGGGAGGAAGGGAGUAAAGUUAAUACCUUUGCUCAUUGACGUUACCCGCAGAAGAAGCACCGGCUAACUCCGUGCCAGCAGCCGCGGUAAUACGGAGGGUGCAAGCGUUAAUCGGAAUUACUGGGCGUAAAGCUCACGCACGCGGUUUGUUAAGUCAGAUGUGAAAUCCCCGGGCUCAACCUGGGAACUGCAUCUGAUACUGGCAAGCUUGAGUCUCGUAGAGGGGGGUAGAAUUCCAGGUGUAGCGGUGAAAUGCGUAUAGAUCUGGACGAAUACCGGUGGCGAAUGCGGACCCCUGGACGAAGACUGACUCUCAGGUGCGAAAGCGUGGGAGCAAACAGGAUGAGAUACCCUGCUACUCCA